UACGGGGGGGGGCAAGCGUUGUCCGGAUUUAUUGGGCGUAAAGAGCUCGUAGGCGGCUCGUCGCGUCGACCGUGAAAACCCGCAGCUUAACUGCGGGCUUGCGGUUGAUACGGGCGGGCUAGAGUUCGGUAGGGGAGACUGGAAUUCCUGGUGUAGCGGUGAAAUGCGCAGAUAUCAGGAGGAACACCGGUGGCGAAGGCGGGUCUCUGGGCCGAUACUGACGCUGAGGAGCGAAAGCGUGGGGAGCGAACAGG
rnacentral:rRNA from 1 species